UGGCUGGAUUUUUUAAAAUCCACCUUAUAUGUAUCAAAAAAGUUUAU
rfam:Amborella trichopoda AMTR_V1.0_contig_6998, whole genome shotgun sequence.